GACGAACGCUGGCGGCGUGCCUAAUACAUGCAAGUCGAACGAGAGCGACCGGUGCUUGCACUGGUCAAUCUAGUGGCGAACGGGUGAGUAACACGUGGGUAACCUGCCCAUCAGAGGGGGAUAACAUCCGGAAACGGAUGCUAAAACCGCAUAGGUCUUCGAGCCGCAUGGCUUGAAGAGGAAAAGAGGCGCAAGCUUCUGCUGAUGGAUGGACCCGCGGUGCAUUAGCUAGUUGGUGAGGUAACGGCUCACCAAGGCCGUGAUGCAUAGCCGACCUGAGAGGGUGAUCGGCCACAUUGGGACUGAGACACGGCCCAAACUCCUACGGGAGGCAGCAGUAGGGAAUCUUCCGCAAUGGACGCAGGUCUGACGGAGCAACGCCGCGUGAGUGAAGAAGGUUUUCGGAUCGUAAAACUCUGUUGUUAGAGAAGAACAAGUGCUAGAGUAACUGUUAGCGCCUUGACGGUAUCUAACCAGAAAGCCACGGCUAACUACGUG
rnacentral:rRNA from 1 species